rnacentral:misc_RNA from 1 species
CAGACGUGUGUUUUCUUCCAUAAAACGUGUCUCUGAAGAUUUUAACCGUGGGCUUUAAUCCUUAAAGUCCACUUUUUUAGUGCUUAAACUGACUUCAUUGGUUUCUUGGCUUCUCGCCCAUGUGUGAGUGUGAGCUAGCGUUAACCAAGAGCCAGUCAGUCAUUCCCCCCACCGUGUUCUUUACUUUCUCUUGUGGUCUUUUUUGUCAUAAAGAUCUUUGGCCUACCAAGAACGCAGGACAAUCCUUGACAAUCCAAAAUACAAGCUCAUUCUGUGACAAGAAAUGCGCUUUCUCUUCUCUCUCAUUAUGAGAACCCUUUCUCAAUUCACCUUUCUGCUUCUGUUUCUGUUUUCUUGCACCACCUUCACUAGCACAGAGGCCUAUGAUGCUCUUGACCCAAAUGGGAAUAUCACAAUCAAAUGGGAUAUUAUGAGCUGGACGCCUGAUGGAUAUGUUGCUGUUGUUUCAAUCUACAACUUCCAGCAAUAUCGUCACAUUGAAGCACCGGGGUGGACAUUAGGAUGGACAUGGGCAAAGAAGGAGGUAAUAUGGAGCAUGGUGGGAGGUCAAACAACAGAGCAGGGAGACUGUUCAAGAUUCAAAGGAAACAUUCCACAUUGCUGUAAGAAAAAACCAUCAGUAGUGGAUUUAUUGCCAGGAACUCCUUACAACCAGCAGAUUGCAAAUUGCUGCAAAGGGGGUGUAAUAAGCUCAUUGGUGCAAGAUCCAUCCAAGGCAGUAAGUGCAUUCCAGCUUAGCGUAGGUGCAGCUGGAACCACUAACAAGACUGUCAGGGUGCCUAAAAACUUCACUCUGAAGGCUCCAGGGCCUGGUUAUACAUGCGGACCAGCGAAAAUUGUUAGACCUAGUAAAUUUUUUACAGCUGAUAAAAGGAGAGUUACACAAGCUUUGAGUAAGUCAAUCAAGGAGGAUCAUAGAGUUACAUUUUUGCAGUCUCUUCAAAUAAUCUAAAUCUUAUGUUAAUUCACAGCUGAAUUUUCUCAUAAAUAUACUAAUUUCUCAAAUUUGAUAUAUUCUGCAGUGUUAUUUGAGGUGCAGAAAGUUGCAUUCCUUUUUUUUUUUUCAAAUAAGUGGCAUUCCUUGUUAUGUUGUUAUCUAGAUAAACUUUAAGCAAAAAGUUGUAUGCUGUACUUCUAUGAUAUGAUAGUUUUUGGAAGAUAUUUUAGGAGAUGAUUUCUACAUUCCCUAUUUAUUUGCGAAUCUGUAUCCUUGGAGAUGGCAUAAGUGACUUCGGAUCUCUUUUACUUCAGUGACAUGGAAUGUGACCUGCACAUAUUCGCAAUUCCUGGCUCAGAAGACCCCCACCUGCUGUGUUUCGCUCUCAUCUUUCUACAAUGACACGAUAGUGCCCUGCCCAACAUGUGCCUGUGGCUGCCGAGGCAACAGUACUUCAUCAGGGAAUUGUGUAGAUCCAAAUGCACCACAUUUAGCUUCAGUUGUUUCCAGCUCAGGGAAAAACGGCCUUGCACCUCUUGUCCAAUGCACAAGUCAUAUGUGUCCAGUCAGAAUUCAUUGGCAUGUUAAGCUUAACUACAGAGAGUACUGGCGGGUUAAGGUCACAAUUACAAAUUUCAAUUACAAUAUGAACUAUUCAGAAUGGAACCUAGUCGUCCAACACCCAAACUUCGACAAUCUGACACAGACUUUUAGCUUUAAUUAUAGGGCAUUGACUCCAUAUUCAGUUAUAAGUAAGUAACAUCUUUCCUUUUGGUUGCUCUUAUUUACUUUUCUGUUUUUGGUCUCAUGUUAUGGAUAGAAUAGGAAUGAAGGUUCCCUUUACCACUUUUUUUUUUUUUUUGGAUAGAAUAAGGGACUAAUGGUUUAAACAGAUUUCAUUCCUUUUGUUCUUUGUAUUUCAUCCAAUGAGAACAGAGACUGAUCACAUGCACAGAUUGAUUGGAUUGGUUCAUGAUCAUUUGGCUGGUUUAGUGUAGUGAAUUUCAUGAAUUGUUACAUGCAAUGCAAUAGUCUGCUUGUUUGACAAUGAGGGAAUGCUUGCCAGUCACUAUGAUUGAAUAUAAGGGUAAUGGGAUUGGAGUUCAGAUUGCAUAGUGAAAUAUAUCUUCUUUUCCUUUUUUUUUUUUACUCUGAAAAUGGAUAUAGGGAUUUUUCUCUUUAAAAUGUAUUAAUACUCAUCAUAUUGUCUUUUCCAACAGAUGAUACAGCCAUGCUAUGGGGAAUUCAAUACUACAAUGAUUUGCUCAUGCAAGCUGGCCCUUCUGGUAAUGUUCAGUCGGAGUUGCUUUUCCAAAAGGACAAGUCAACUUUUACCUUUGAGAAGGGUUGGGCUUUCCCUAGAAGAAUCUACUUCAAUGGUGAUAAUUGUGUCAUGCCACCUCCAGAUGCCUAUCCAUGGUUGCCAAAUGCCAGUUCGCGCAAGCAUGUCUCAGCCCUUAUACUAACAGUUACUUUGUUUUCUGCUUUGGCAAUCUUAUACAGAUAUCUAUAAGCUCGCAAAUGUACACUGCAAAGUACAUCUUCAAGUUUUGACCAGAUCUUCUUGACCUCAGCAUUAAUCAGAAAACAGUUGGAAAGUUAAUUUGUUAGUGCAAUUCCACCCAGCAUUUCAGGAGUUACAGGUGAAUUUGUAGGUUUGCUGCCAUUUUGUCAUUUGUUGCUGUUGUCUCACUUUUUUCCUUGUACUUUCUUAUCUUUGUAGAGUUUCCGACAAUACAAUUAUGAUGUAACAAAAUUAGGGUAAAUAAAAAGUACCUUUCAGAGAGACCUAGAGCUCAU